UCCAUGCUGGUGUAUCGGUAACAUUUUCGCCUCUCAGUGUUCACCACAAUUGAUCGCGAUAGCGCUGGGUUCGACUCCCAGGCAUGGAA
rnacentral:tRNA from 1 species